UUGAACGCUGGCGGCAGGCCUAACACAUGCAAGUCGAACGGUAACAGGAAGCAGCUUGCUGCUUCGCUGACGAGUGGCGGACGGGUGAGUAAUGUCUGGGAAGCUGCCUGAUGGAGGGGGAUAACUACUGGAAACGGUAGCUAAUACCGCAUAAUGUCGCAAGACCAAAGAGGGGGACCUUCGGGCCUCUUGCCAUCGGAUGUGCCCAGAUGGGAUUAGCUUGUUGGUGGGGUAACGGCUCACCAAGGCGACGAUCCCUAGCUGGUCUGAGAGGAUGACCAGCCACACUGGAACUGAGACACGGUCCAGACUCCUACGGGAGGCAGCAGUGGGGAAUAUUGCACAAUGGGCGCAAGCCUGAUGCAGCCAUGCCGCGUGUAUGAAGAAGGCCUUCGGGUUGUAAAGUACUUUCAGCGGGGAGGAAGGGAGUAAAGUUAAUACCUUUGCUCUUUGACGUUACCCGCAGAAGAAGCACCGGCUAACUCCGU
rnacentral:rRNA from 1 species